AGUAAUCUAGGCACAGCUGAUCUCAGGGCGUCUGACUCAGGAUCUCUCACAAGAUGGCAAUCACAGCACUGGUGGGCACUGUGGUCUCAUGAGAGAGCUGGACUUGGGGCAGAUCCGCUUCCAAGCUCACUCAAGGUAUUGUGAGAGGCAUUCAGGUCCUCGUGUGCUGCUGGACUCAGAGGUUUGUGGAAGCGUUCGGGUCCUCACGUGCUGCUGGACGGAGGGCCUCAGUCCCUCAGUGGCUGUUGACCAAAGGCCUCGCUUAGUUCCUUACCGUGUGGACUUCUCCAAGGGCAGCUCACACAUGGGGAUUGGCCUCUAUCAAAGCGGGUAAGAGGGAAAGAUUGGGGGCAUGCCCCUAGAUAAAGCCACAGUCUUUGUAACCUAAACCUAAUCUCAGCAAUGACACCUUAUAAUUUCUGUCAUGUGUUAUGAAUUAGAGGCAAGUCAGUAAGUCCAGUUCAAACCUAAAGGAAAGGGAGUGCACGAGGAUGUGAGUUCUGGGAGGUGAGGCUCUCUGGGGCCAUCUUGGAGGCUGCCGACUACAGUGUGAACUCUUAUUUUAUUCAGAAGAUUUGGUAUAUUUGCUGGCCAGAAAGCAAGGAACUGUUCUAACAAACUUUCUGAAUCUCUGAAAAAAACUCAUGAAAAGAAGAGUGAAGGAGGCAGAGUCCCGGAUAUUCUUAGCCAGACCCUCCAUGAGCUUGGCUGCCAUCUGACACAAACAUGUCAGCGGGGACGGAAGAUGAGCACGGUGCCAUCCAGGAAACAGUUGAAAAUGUGGAAUUGAAUGUCAUAAAGAAGGUCAAGAUUGAAGACAGCCAGUUUGCAAUAAAGUACUAUUAAAAUGGAAAC
rnacentral:lncRNA from 10 species